rnacentral:rRNA from 1 species
UACAGAGGUGGCAAGCGUUGUUCGGAAUUACUGGGCGUAAAGGGCCAGUAGGCGGCCAACUAAGUCCGACGUGAAAUCCCCAGGCUUAACCUGGGAACUGCGUCGGAUACUGGAUGGCUUGAAUUCGGGAGAGGGAUGCAGAAUUCCAGGUGUAGCGGUGAAAUGCGUAGAUAUCUGGAGGAAUACCGGUGGCGAAGGCGGCAUCCUGGACCGACAUUGACGCUGAACGGCGAAAGCUAGGGGAGCAAACGGG